rnacentral:snoRNA from 1 species
AGUCCAUUGUGUAAGUACUUCCUUAUCAUUGUAUUGAAACGCUCCCACACCUCAUAUAGAGAUUCACCUUCGUAUUGUUUAAAGUUGGAGAUUUCUCACCUAAGCU